rnacentral:rRNA from 1 species
GACGAACGCUGGCGGCGUGCUUAACACAUGCAAGUCGAACGGUAAGGCCCUUCGAGGUACACGAGCGGCGAACGGGUGAGUAACACGUGAGCAAUCUGCCCUUCACACGGGGAUAACUCCGGGAAACCGAAGCUAAUACCCGAUACGACCACCCCAGGCAUCUGAUGGUGGUGGAAAGUUCCGGCGGUGAAGGAUGAGCUCGCGGCCUAUCAGCUUGUUGGUGGGGUAACGGCCCACCACGGCAACGACGGGUAGCCGGCCUGAGAGGGUGACCGGCCACGCUGGGACUGGGACACGGCCCAGACUCCUACGGGAGGCAGCAGUGGGGAAUAUUGGACAAUGGGCGAAAGCCUGAUCCAGCAACGCCGCGUGAGGGAUGACGGCCUUCGGGUUGUAAACCUCUUUCAGCAGGGACGAAGCGCAAGUGACGGUACCUGCAGAAGAAGCACCGGCCAACUACGUGCCAGCAGCCGCAGUAA